rnacentral:rRNA from 1 species
CUACCAUGCAGUCGAGCGGCAGCACAGAGGAGCUUGCUCCUUGGGUGGCGAGUGGCGGACGGGUGAGGAAUACAUCGGAAUCUACUUUUUCGGGGGGGAUAACGUAGGGAAACUUACGCUAAUACCGCACACGACCUACAGGUGAAAGCAGGGGACCUUCGGGCCUUGCGCGAUUGAAUGAGCCGAUAUCGGAUUAGCUAUUUGGCGGGGUAAAGGCCCACCAAGGCGACGAUCCGUAUCUGGUCUGAAAGGAUGAUCAUCCUCACUGGAACUGAGACACGGUCCAGACUCCUACGGGAGGCAGCAGUGGGGAAUAUUGGACAAUGGGCGCGAACCAGAUCCAGCCAUACCGCGUGGGUGAGAAAGGCCUUCGGGUUGUAAAGCCCUUUUGUUGGUAAAGAGGUCCAGCUGGCUAAUACCCGGUUGGGAUGACGGUACCCAGAGAAUAAGCACCGGCUAACUUCGUGCCAGCAGCCGCGGUAAUACGAAGGGUGCAAGCGUUACUCGGAAUUACUGGGCGUAGAGCGUGCGUAGGUGGUCGUUUAAGUCCGUUGUGAGAGCCCUGGGCUCAACCUGGGAACUGCAAUGGAUACUGGGCGACUAGAGUGUGGUAUAGGGUAGCGGAAUUCCUGGUGUACCAUUGAAAUGCGUAAAGAUCAGGAGGACAUCCAUGGCGAAGGCAGCUACCUGGACCACACUGACACUGAGGCACAAAACGUGGGAGCAACAGGAUAAAUACCCUGGUAGUCACGCCCUAACGAUGCGAAUGGAUGUUGGUGCAAUUGGCACCCUAUCAAGCUACGCGUUAGUUCGCCCCUGGGAGUACGUCGCAGACUGAACUCAAGGAUUGACGGGGCCGCACAACCGUGAGUUGUGUUUAAUCGAUGCACGCGAGACUUACUGGCGUACUUUGGAGACUUUCAGAAAGGAUGGUGCUUCCGAGUCGAA